UUAGCUCCCUGACAAAUUUUUAUUUUAAAAAUAGCCCUGUCAAAAUUUAAUUUGCAAAAAUGGCCCUGGGCCUACCACGCAGGCUCCACGUCAGCGCCACACGGGCGGGACGAGGGCCAAUGUGUUAGGUUAAACACGGUGAACCAUUCACCGUGUUAAGUUAAACACGGUGAAUUAGACACGGUGAAUGGUUUACCGUGUUUGCUACGUAUAUUUUGUAUAUUGAAAAGAGGAAUAGGGAGUAGGGAUGUCAAUAGGUAUGGAUAUCCGAAAUAUUAUUCGAACCCAAACCCGAAUAAAUUAUAUAUAUAUAUGUAAAAUUUGUUUUUAUUUAUUUAUACAAUAUAUAAAAUAUUUAACAGCUAGAUGAAGAUCUAAGAAACGGUUAAAUAUUUUAUAUAUUGUAUAAAUAAAUAAAAAUAAAUUUUAUAUAUAUAUAUAUAUAUAUAUAAAAUUUAUUCGGAUUUGGGUUCGGAUAAUAUUUCCGAUAUCCAUACCUCUCCCCAUUCAUCUUUUCAAUAUAUAAAAUAUACGUAGUAAACACGGUGAACCAUUCACCGUGUCUAAACAUGGUGAAUGGUUCAUCGUGUUUAACUUAACACAUUAGCUCU
rnacentral:lncRNA from 1 species